GGGUGGGGUAGGAGGAGGUGCCAGGAUUUGUCUUCAGGCUCCGGCUCCCGGCUCCGGCAACUUGAGGAAGAUGCUGCCCUUGGCCAGGACAGCGAUGCUGAAGGAGGACCAGAUGCUAAUAACAAUUAAGAAUAUCAGCAGAAGAAAAUCUGGAAGGAAAAUCUAGCUAUUAUUUUCAUGAGGGGCUCAUGCAGAGGGCAAGAGGCACUCCAGGAACAUCAUGGGGCACCCUGCCUGCCACGUCCUCCCAGGACCGAGCCCCAACACAGUCCAGCCUUGGGAGCCACGCCUGCCCAGUCUCGAGAUGUGAAACCAGCCAAGAACCUCCAUACUGGAACACGCCCACGACUCCCGGACCGAGUUGCUGGAGAAAGAGGGACCCUGCCUUCUAGAAAACGUUAGGAGUUAUCGUCCUAACCAAGCGUUUUCCAAGAUUAUAAAGAAAAGGGUAUUGACAACUGUGGGCAACAGGCAACUGGAGAGGACUGCAAAGGAAAAAUUUUUCAAAGAUUCAAUUGAGAAGACAACUGGAUAUAAGGAAUUCUAAGUUUGUUUAUCCAUAAUGGAGACGUCUGAUUCAGCUGGAUUAAAGAAGAACCAAUGGAAUCCCCAAAAGUACGGGAAACUAAAUCCGUGAUGCUAGGUUUUACCUCAGCUGGCUUGCCAACACCCACUACAAUCAAUUUGCCAUCUUCUAAUCCUACAAGAAUAUGGCUAUAUUCUUUGGUUACACAAACACCAAAUAGGCGAUCGCAUGGCUAAUGGGUUGAUGCUGAGAUUCAAACUAGAAGAGAAAUAAAAAACACAUAAUUACACAGAUAUACAAUGGAUUCAUAGAACUUUAUAACUGGAAGAUAACUUAAUAGUCAACUAAUUAUACAUUCUAAUUUUAUAAAUGUGGGAACUUAAGUUCAGAAAACCUGAGUGACAAAAGAGCCGACAUUUAUAGCAUUACUCAAAAUACUUAAUACAGUUUUUCUCUAUUUCCAACAUCUGUUUGCCCUCUAACCAUUUAUAUGUGUUCUCACGAAAUGAUUAACAAAUGAAAGUUGGAUAAACAAAAGGGUAAAAGCCCAAAAAGUAUGUGCUGGUGGGGAAUAAGGUCAAUAAAAUUGGUAUAUUUGCUUUGUCAUGCAAAAAAAAAAAAAGAACCUCCAUACUGUUCUCCCUAGUGGAUCUCCAUUGUACAUUUCCAACCACAGUGCAGGAUAAUUCUCUUCUCUCUACACCGUCUCUAGCAUUUAUUUUUGGACAUAUUUUGAGAUGGCCGUUCUGACCUGUGUGAGGUAAUACCUUGUUGGAUUUCCUCUGUGUGUGAGAAUUAGUGAUGCUGAGAAUGUCCUCAGGUGCCUAAUCGCAGUGUGUAUGUCUUCCUCCAAGAAACACCUGUUUCUGUGUUUGGCCCGUUUGUGUCUUGGGUUGUCUGUGUCUUUGAUACUGAGCUGUAUGAGCUGUCUGUAUGUUUCAGAGAUGAAUUCCUUGUGAGUAUCUUCAUUUGCAAACAUUUUUUCCCAUUCUGGGUUGCAUUUAUCUUUCAUUUAGGGUUUCCUUUGCUAUACAAAUGUUUUAUGGUUAAUUAGAUCCCUUUUUCUUACUUUUGAUUUAUUUUUCAUUCAUCUAAGAGGUGUAUCCAUAAAGACCUUGCUGUGAUUUAUGUCUGUGUGUGUCCUGCCUAUGUUUUCCUUAAGCUUUCAUAGUAUCCAUCCUCACAUUUAGAUCUUUAUAUUCUUUGGAGUAUAUUUUGUGUAUGGUGUUAGGGAGUAUUCUAACCUCAUUUUCUUUGCCUCAAUAACCACUACACCAUCCUCCACACAUCCUCUAUUACCAGUUUAUAUUCCCAACAUCAGGGGAGGAACAUUCCCUUUUCUCCACACCUUCACUGGCAGUUCAGAGAAGGCAAUGGCACCC